CCUACGGGAGGCAGCAGUGAGGAAUAUUGGUCAAUGGACGAGAGUCUGAACCAGCCAAGUAGCGUGAAGGAUGACUGCCCUAUGGGUUGUAAACUUCUUUUAUAUGGGAAUAAAAUGUUCCACGUGUGGGAUUUUGUAUGUACCAUAUGAAUAAGGAUCGGCUAACUCCGUGCCAGCAGCCGCGGUAAUACGGAGGAUACGAGCGUUAUCCGGAUUUAUUGGGUUUAAAGGGAGCGUAGGUGGAUUGUUAAGUCAGUUGUGAAAGUUUGCGGCUCAACCGUAAAAUUGCAGUUGAAACUGGCAGUCUUGAGUACAGUAGAGGUGGGCGGAAUGCGUGGUGUAGCGGUGAAAUGCUUAGAUAUCACGAAGAACUCCGAUUGCGAAGGCAGUUCACUGGACUGCAACUGACACUGAGGCUCGAAAGUGUGGGUAUCAAACAGGAUUAGAUACCCCAGUAGUC
rnacentral:rRNA from 1 species